UAAUUGUAUUCUUUAAUGUUUGUUUAAGGUAAAAUAAGAUGGUGUGUGAAUAAAUGAGUACUGUAUAUGGCUCCUUUCAUCUGCCUCUGACAGGGUGAGACCACUAACCAAGUCUCCAUCAGUGCAGUAGUAUCUAGUGGCAGUGAGACGGUGUUGUGGCAUGAAGACAGGACUCCUGGUGGUGACUGGACACAGGGUCAGGUCCGAGUCAACGCCAAACAAUUUCUCUUUGAGGAAGUUGCAUAUCAGCUCCACAUCCUUGGGACAAGAACCUCAAAUGACUCAAAGAUCGCCCUUGAUGAUUUCACCUUCAAAAGGCAACUUGAAUGCAAGAGGAUCCCUAAUGUGCCUGGGACAACGACACCCAUACCCUCACCAACAACACCAUCAUCUGUCCUGUGGAACUGCUACUUCAACAAAGAUUCGUGCGGUCUGGUGAUGACGGGCGAUGCCUUGUGGACACCCACUAUAUAUGUCAACACUUCCCAACACAACCAUGACUUAACCUGCUUGUCGGUGAUGGGUCAGGAGCACGAGGUAGCCACAGCCACCUUACCCCAACUUCCAACCCAGGACCAGCCCUGCUGUCUCUCCUUCUGGUACAUGAUAGAGAGUGCCAACCGAGGCGACAUCUCUGUUAUCAU